rnacentral:rRNA from 1 species
AUUGGGCGUUAAGUUGCAGGGUAUAGACCCGAAACCCGGUGAUCUAGCCAUGGGCAGGUUGAAGGUUGGGUAACACUAACUGGAGGACCGAACCGACUAAUGUUGAAAAAUUAGCGGAUGACCUGUGGCUGGGGGUGAAAGGCCAAUCAAACCGGGAGAUAGCUGGUUCUCCCCGAAAGCUAUUUAGGUAGCGCCUCGUGAAUUCAUCUCCGGGGGUAGAGCACUGUUUCGGCUAGGGGGCCAUCCCGGCUUACCAACCCGAUGCAAACUGCGAAUACCGGAGAAUGUUAUCACGGGAGACACACGGCGGGUGCUAACGUCCGUCGUGAAGAGGGAAACAACCCAGACCGCCAGCUAAGGUCCCAAAGUCAUGGUUAAGUGGGAAACGAUGUGGGAAGGCCCAGACAGCCAGGAUGUUGGCUUAGAAGCAGCCAUCAUUUAAAGAAAGCGUAAUAGCUCACUGGUCGAGUCGGCCUGCGCGGAAGAUGUAACGGGGCUAAACCAUGCACCGAAGCUGCGGCAGCGAACGUAUCACCCAAGACAACUUUACGGAGUUGACGAUUGACGGAGCGAAGCGACGUCAAAGCGUUCAUUAAAGUCGAGUUGGCUUAGGGAUACGUUCGUUGGGUAGGGGAGCGUUCUGUAAGCCUGUGAAGGUGUGUCGUGAGGCAUGCUGGAGGUAUCAGAAGUGCGAAUGCUGACAUAAGUAACGAUAAAGCGGGUGAAAAGCCCGCUCGCCGGAAGACCAAGGGUUCCUGUCCAACGUUAAUCGGGGCAGGGUGAGUCGACCCCUAAGGCGAGGCCGAAAGGCGUAGUCGAUGGGAAACGGGUUAAUAUUCCCGUACUUGGUGUUACUGCGAAGGGGGGACGGAGAAGGCUAUGUUGGCCGGGCGACGGUUGUCCCGGUUUAAGCGUGUAGGUGUGUGUUCCAGGUAAAUCCGGUUCACUUUAACACUGAGGCGUGACGACGAGGCACUACGGUGCUGAAGCAACAAAUGCCCUGCUUCCAGGAAAAGCCUCUAAGCAUCAGGUAACAUCAAAUCGUACCCCAAACCGACACAGGUGGUCAGGUAGAGAAUACCAAGGCGCUUGAGAGAACUCGGGUGAAGGAACUAGGCAAAAUGGUGCCGUAACUUCGGGAGAAGGCACGCUGACACGUAGGUGAAGUGAUUUACUCAUGGAGCUGAAGUCAGUCGAAGAUACCAGCUGGCUGCAACUGUUUAUUAAAAACACAGCACUGUGCAAACACGAAAGUGGACGUAUACGGUGUGACGCCUGCCCGGUGCCGGAAGGUUAAUUGAUGGGGUCAGCGCAAGCGAAGCUCCUGAUCGAAGCCCCGGUAAACGGCGGCCGUAACUAUAACGGUCCUAAGGUAGCGAAAUUCCUUGUCGGGUAAGUUCCGACCUGCACGAAUGGCGUAAUGAUGGCCAGGCUGUCUCCACCCGAGACUCAGUGAAAUUGAACUCGCUGUGAAGAUGCAGUGUACCCGCGGCAAGACGGAAAGACCCCGUGAACCUUUACUAUAGCUUGACACUGAACAUUGAGCCUUGAUGUGUAGGAUAGGUGGGAGGCUUUGAAGUGUGGACGCCAGUCUGCAUGGAGCCGACCUUGAAAUACCACCCUUUAAUGUUUGAUGUUCUAACGUGGACCCGUAAUCCGGGUUGCGGACAGUGUCUGGUGGGUAGUUUGACUGGGGCGGUCUCCUCCUAAAGAGUAACGGAGGAGCACGAAGGUUGGCUAAUCCUGGUCGGACAUCAGGAGGUUAGUGCAAUGGCAUAAGCCAGCUUGACUGCGAGCGUGACGGCGCGAGCAGGUGCGAAAGCAGGUCAUAGUGAUCCGGUGGUUCUGAAUGGAAGGGCCAUCGCUCAACGGAUAAAAGGUACUCCGGGGAUAACAGGCUGAUACCGCCCAAGAGUUCAUAUCGACGGCGGUGUUUGGCACCUCGAUGUCGGCUCAUCACAUCCUGGGGCUGAAGUAGGUCCCAAGGGUAUGGCUGUUCGCCAUUUAAAGUGGUACGCGAGCUGGGUUUAGAACGUCGUGAGACAGUUCGGUCCCUAUCUGCCGUGGGCGCUGGAGAACUGAGGGGGGCUGCUCCUAGUACGAGAGGACCGGAGUGGACGCAUCACUGGUGUUCGGGUUGUCAUGCCAAUGGCACUGCCCGGUAGCUAAAUGCGGAAGAGAUAAGUGCUGAAAGCAUCUAAGCACGAAACUUGCCCCGAGAUGAGUUCUCCCUGAGACUUAGAGUCUCCUGAAGGAACGUUGAAGACGACGACGUUGAUAGGCCGGGUGUGUAAGCGCAGCGAUGCGUUGAGCUAACCGGUACUAAUGAACCGUGAGGCUUAACCUUACA